rnacentral:rRNA from 1 species
ACAGGGAUUGCCUUAGUAGCGGCGAGUGAAGCGGCAAAAGCUCAAAUUUGAAAUCUGGCGCCUUCGGUGUCCGAGUUGUAAUUUGAAGAUUGUAACCUUGGGGUUGGCUCUUGUCUAUGUUUCUUGGAACAGGACGUCACAGAGGGUGAGAAUCCCGUGCGAUGAGAUGCCCAAUUCUAUGUAAGGUGCUUUCGAAGAGUCGAGUUGUUUGGGAAUGCAGCUCUAAGUGGGUGGUAAAUUCCAUCUAAAGCUAAAUAUUGGCGAGAGACCGAUAGCGAACAAGUACAGUGAUGGAAAGAUGAAAAGAACUUUGAAAAGAGAGUGAAAAAGUACGUGAAAUUGUUGAAAGGGAAGGGUUUGAGAUCAGACUCGAUAUUUUGUGAGCCUUGCCUUCGUGGCGGGGUGACCCGCAGCUUAUCGGGCCAGCAUCGGUUUGGGCGGUAGGAUAAUGGCGUAGGAAUGUGACUUUACUUCGGUGAAGUGUUAUAGCCUGCGUUGAUGCUGCCUGCCUAGACCGAGGACUGCGAUUUUAUCAAGGAUGCUGGCAUAAUGAUCC